rnacentral:tRNA from 1 species
ACCUGAGUGGCUCAGUCAGUUGAGCCUCUGACUUCAGCUCAGGUCACGAUCUCACGGUUCGUGGGUUCGAGCCCCGCAUCGGGCU